AUGGCGAGUGGCGGCGGCGGAGUGAUGGCCGGGAAGAAGAGGAAGUCCGCGGAGAUGGGCCGCGUCGGAAAUGGAGGAGCGCAGAGGGAUUACUAUCCUCACUACUACGGCGGUGAGCACUACACUUUGGCACGCAGGUACAUGCAGCAGCUGCAGGCGUCGAGCGGCCAGCCGGCGCCACGCCACCAUGAUCACCACCAUGCAUGGCAGAGCAACGCCGCGGCCGUCGCUGCGCCGGCGCCGCCUGUCUUGGAGCGGGACCACCGUCGUCGAGCCCAGGCGCACGGCGGCGGCCAUGCGAGGAAGCCUCGUGUUGCGUUCGUGGACCUUGUCGACUCCGAUGAGGAGGAUGGCCGCGGCAGCGCCGAAGAAGAACUGGACCUCGAGCUCAAGCUCUAG
rnacentral:rRNA from 1 species